rnacentral:lncRNA from 1 species
GGAUUACAAGUUCGUGCUACUACCGCCUGGGUUCAUGAGGCCUAAAGUCCUUGCUGUUUAAAUGCCCCACUGACAUGGACCCUUGAAGAGUUCCUGAGGGUCCAGCUUGAAAAUCUCUUAACCUGUAAAUUGUGCUGAAGGAGGCAGCUGAAUUAUACAUAAAGUUGAGAUGGUCAUUUAUAAGAUUCACUAGAACAGGGUUCUGCAAACUGCAAAUAUGUCUGCCAUCUGAUUUUGUGAAUGAAGUUUUACUGGAACACAGGUAAGCUCAUUCAUUUAUGUAUUGUCCAUGGCUGGUUUUGCACUGCAACUAUGGCAGAGUUAAGUAAUUAUGACAGACGAAAUGGUUGGGAAAGCCGAAAAUUCUUUUGGCUCUUUACAGUAAGUUUGCCCACCUCUGCUCUAGAAGAUGAUUUGGUAUCUUUCACUGUUUCAGAUAAUUAAUGAAAUGAAUAAACACACACCAAUAGAAUAUAGAAACAAAAUUUAUGAUCAAAGCUGAGACUAGUUACACUGAGGCCAAUCUAACUGCCUUCUGAGAGUCAGCAGCUUUGUUUUACUAAUCACAGUAAUUGUGUGUGAGGCGUGGGGUAGAUGUAAUGAAUAAAAAGUCCAAUAAAUUAAAAAGCACUUUAAGUUCUUUUUCUCUUAAUGAGAUAGAACACUACAAGAAACAAAGGUUCAUUUAAUAAAUAUAUUGAAUAUGUAAAAAUAUAACCUAAUUCCCUAUUUUAGUCAGAGGAGAGAUAAGAAGAAGAAAAAGAAGAUGUAGUGGUUGGGGGUAGAAACAGGAGCACACAAAAAGAAAAAAUCUACAGACAAAGUAGACUCUAGCAGUGUCUAGAACAAAAAUAGAUGCUCAAUAAGUAUAAUGAUCGAAUGAGUAUAAAUUAAAGGGCCUUUCUCACUUAUUCUGCAGGCUUUAAACUCAGUCAUCAUCUCUCAUUAGUGUCCUUUGAAAUGUAACUUGUCUGCAGAGUUCACUCACUUCCCUAAGAAUGAGAUGCAGACAGGGAAGGAGCUCUCCUCAGGGCUAGAUAAAAUCCAGAGGACUGUCUGGUCUGUGUUUAAAGGUUCUAAGUAGCUAUUUAUUUUGUUUCUCCUUCCAAAAUAUCUCAUUCCUACAGAAGGUCACAGGAGACUGUAAUCCUGUAUACAAUUAUUGGCCAACAUAAAUCAGUUCAGAACACUGUAGAAUAUGUACAACUUCAGGACACUGUGGUCUCUUCUCUUGGGAAUAAUAAACAUCUCCUAAAUUACACAGAGACAAUUUCUAUCAUGGGGUAAGGGGUUACUCUGUAAAAAUGCACUAAUGAAGAAAAGAAGAUUUAUUAUCACACAGAUUCAGUGUGCUCAAUGGGAGGAUACAAAAUUAAGAGACGGAGGUGCAUGUUUUUAAAGAUAUGUAAAUAUAGCAGUGGUUCUCCAUCUUUAGAAGGACCUGUAGGGCCUGUUAAAACCAAGACUGCUGAUGUCCAGCCCAAGUUUCUGAUUUAGUAGGUCUGGGGUUGGGCUAGGGUUGCCAGAAAAAAAAAACAAAAAAACGGCAAUGCCUAGUUGAAUUUGAAUUUCAGAGAAACUUUUUAUGUUCCAAAUUCUGCAAUAUUUUAUUUUUAUCUGCUAAAUCUAGCAACCCUAGAAUUUGCAUUUCUAACAGAUUUUGAAGAGAUGCUGAUGCUGCUGGUCUAGGGACCUUACUUUGAGAACCACUGAGAUAUAGGAUAUUACGUUAUCACCAAAAAGGAAAAACUGGGGGAGGAGGGAAGCUGAGUAGAUCAGGUAAGAGUUCCUGAAGGAAAGGACAAGGACAUGGGAUGGGUCUUUAAGGGUGCCUAGAAGCUAGCCAGAAGAAUACUGAGAGGAAAGCUUUGAGCAAAGGGGCAGAAAUGUCAGAAAAUGCCUGACGUUUUAAGGAAAUUACAAGAAGCUUAGUGUUGCUGGUGCAUAAAGUUUAAUGCAGGUGGUGGUAGAUAAAACUAAAAGGACAGAGGCCAGAAAGUACUAGGACCUUAUGUACCCUGUGAAAAAGCACUUAGGGGUUUACACUGUAAAACAGUCAGCUUACCCGAUGGGGAGCAAUUUAAAGGAUUUUAAGCAGAGCAGGGACUUGAUCAGAUUUGCAUUUUUAGAAAGAUCAUUUGGGUGGAGGAUCAGAAGCAUGAUUAUGUGUUCAAGAGUAUUUGAAAUACGGUUAUUUAUGGAAACCAUUUUUAAUAUAAUUCUGCACAGACACAGACUGCUGGAGGCUACACCAGAGAAGGGAAGGAAAUAGAACAAUACUCAAUUCAUUAUGAAAUUUAUUUAAAGUCCCUGCUAACUUGGCUCUCACUGAUGCCAGAAGGACAGCAUUUAAUUUUUAAAGAUACCAAAUAAAAAUGCAUGGUUACAAAACUUUGUAGUUGUCUAGAAUACAUUAUUUUGAACAUUUAUUCUUAAGCCUCUUUGAUAAUGUGUAAAAUUAUUUAAAAUAAGACUUAAAAACAGGUAUUGACAUUAUAAUAGCGUUCAUGCUAAUGAAAGAAUUUCUGCAAAAAAAAUUAAAAAAAUUAAAAAGCAGCUUCCUAUUUACUGCCUAUUUCAUUUCUUAAGCAUGUUUAUGCGCCUUUCUACUUGUCAGAAAUAAAACCCAUUACAAUGAAGAUGUCCAGACUUAAGGCUCAAAGGAGGCUAAGUGUUAGUCCAGAGCUGGAAAUCCUGGAGGCCAGUCCUAUUUUACCAGAGUGGACCUAACGGGCUUUAAUUUUCUCAACUGUGAACUGAGUUAGAAUAGAUCAUUUGCAAAGCAGCAUUCUCCUUUACCAAUUUCCAACAUCAGCAAAGGACAUCUUCACCUAUUUUCAAACAAUAUUUAAGGACAAAAAUGUGUUGUCCAGUGUGUAUAUAAAAGACAUUAAAAUAUUCUUGGCUUAAUCAAGGUCACUUAUCUAAGAUUCUACAUGUCCUGAAAGACCAAGCGUCAAAAGGAAUAUUCCUUUCAGUGUUCUUUUUGAGUAUAUUUCGCUAUGGUACCAACAGCUAUAUUAGCAAAAGACAUAAAAGUGCUGCCUUGGAAUGACACUUGUUUUCACUGCACAUUCAUAGUACAAAACCUGUGACCCAUCAGUUUUGCGGCUGAAGGGAAAAGUUAAUUUGUCCAUAUUUCAUUUUUCCUUAUUUAAAAUAAGGAGAUAAUCGAUAGGAACAAAAGCUAAAAUAUACAGUGGCCAUGAAGCAGGCACCACUUAGAAACCUCUGUAUUAACGUUAGGAGCCAAGUUUUAUUACCCAAAAGGGCAGGCUGGCUGAGGAGUGGAGGCUGGAUGCAUCGUCUCAGCAAAUGACUACUGCAAAGCUGCCACGCUUGCACAAACUCAGGGAUGUUUAUUUAUUAGCUUGUUUCCUCAAAAUGAGUUUAGGUCAUCAGCAGAGAUUAAA